rnacentral:rRNA from 1 species
GGCCGCGGGAAUUCGAUUCAGGCCUAACACAUGCAAGUCGAACGAGAAAGCUUCAGCUUGCUGAGGCGAGUAAAGUGGCGCACGGGUGAGUAACGCGUGGGUAAUCUACCCCUGAAUUGGGGAUAACAUUGCGAAAGCGAUGCUAAUACCGGAUGAAAUCCAUUUAUUUGAGGAUAGAUGGAUCAAAGGUGGCCUCUCCAUGGAAGCUACUGUUUUGGGAUGAGCCUGCGUACCAUUAGCUAGUUGGCGGGGUAAUGGCCCACCAAGGCAACGAUGGUUAGCUGGUCUGAGAGGAUGAUCAGCCACACUGGAACUGACACACGGUCCAGACUCCUACGGGAGGCAGCAGUGAGGAAUUUUGCGCAAUGGGGGAAACCCUGACGCAGCAAGGCCGCGUGAGUGAUGAAGGCUUUCGGGUCGUAAAUCUCAGUGAAGUGGAAAGAAUCCAUUUAUGUUUAAUACACAUGAAUGCUGAC